rnacentral:rRNA from 1 species
GAUGAACGCUGGCGGCGUGCCUAAUACAUGCAAGUCGAGCGAACAGACGAGGAGCUUGCUCCUCUGACGUUAGCGGCGGACGGGUGAGUAACACGUGGAUAACCUACCUAUAAGACUGGGAUAACUUCGGGAAACCGGAGCUAAUCCCGGAUAAUCUAUUGAACCGCAUGGUUCAAUAGUGAAAGACGGUUUUGCUGUCACUUAUAGAUGGAUCCGCGCCGCAUUAGCUAGUUGGUAAGGUAACGGCUUACCAAGGCAACGAUGCGUAGCCGACCUGAGAGGGUGAUCGGCCACACUGGAACUGAACCACGGUCCAGACUCCUACGGGAGGCAGCAGUAGGGAAUCUUCCGCAAUGGGCGAAAGCCUGACGGAGCAACGCCGCGUGAGUUAUGAAGGUCUUCGGAUCGUAAAACUCUGUUAUUAGGGAAGAACAAAUGUGUAAGUAACUAUGCACGUCUUGACGGUACCGAAUCAGAAAGCCACGGCUAACUACGUG